GAGGCAUAGCUCAGUUGGUUAGAGCGCUACCUUGACAUGGUAGAGGUCGCAGGUUCGAAUCCUGCUGUCUCC
rnacentral:tRNA from 1 species